CAGUAGCCGCGGGAACACGAAGGGGGCUAGCGUUGUUCGAAAUUACUGGGCGUAAAGGGCGCGUAGGCGGAUAGUUUAGUCAGAGGUGAAAGCCCAGGGCUCAACCUUGGAAUUGCCUUUGAUACUGGCUAUCUUGAGUUCGGAAGAGGUAAGUGGAAUGCCGAGUGUAGAGGUGAAAUUCGCAGAUAUUCGGCGGAACACCAGUGGCGAAGGCGACUUACUGGUCCGAUACUGACGCUGAGGCGCGAAAGCGUGGGGAGCAAACAGGAUUAGAUACCCCAGUAGUCCCUGUCUCUUAUAC
rnacentral:rRNA from 1 species